rnacentral:rRNA from 1 species
UCUGGCAGCAAUAGCGAGAAGGUCACACCCGUCCCCAUACCGAACACGGAAGUUAAGCUUCUCAGCGCCAAUGGUAGUUGGGACGCGAGUCCCUGUGAGAGUAGGACGUUGCCAGGC